rfam:Schistosoma mansoni strain Puerto Rico chromosome W, complete genome
AUCUAGUUGACGAGUCUCAUGUAGGACGAAACACGCGUCAAACUGGAU